AUUGAACGCUGGCGGCAUGCUUUACACAUGCAAGUCGAACGGCAGCACGGGGGCAACCCUGGUGGCGAGUGGCGAACGGGUGAGUAACACGUGGGUGACCUGCCCUCAGCUCUGGGAUAAGCCUGGGAAACCGGGUCUAAUACCGGAUAUGACUCCAUGACGCAUGUUGUGGGGUGGAAAGCCUUGUGCGGCUGAGGAUGGGCCCGCGGCCUAUCAGCUGUUGGUGGGUGAUGGCCUACCAAGGCGACGACGGGUAGCCGGCCUGAGAGGGCGACCGGCCACACUGGGACUGAGACACGGCCCAGACUCCUACGGGAGGCAGCAGUGGGGAAUCUUGCGCAAUGGGCGAAAGCCUGACGCAGCGACGCCGCGUGAGGGAUGACGGCCUCGGUUGUAA
rnacentral:rRNA from 1 species